rnacentral:rRNA from 1 species
UACAGAGGGGGGCAAACGUUGUUCGGAAUUACUGGGCGUAAAGCGUGUGUAGGCGGUCCGCUAAGUCGGGUGUGAAAGCCCUGGGCUCAACCCAGGAAGUGCACUCGAAACUGGCGGGCUAGAGUAUCGGAGAGGUUGGUGGAAUUCUCGGUGUAGCAGUGAAAUGCGUGGAUAUCGAGAAGAACACUUAGGGCGUAGGCAAGACUCUGGACAAAUGCUGACGCUCAUGCACGAAGGCUAGGGUAGCGAACGGG